UACGGAGGAGGCAAGCGUUAUCCGGAAUUAUUGGGCGUAAAGCGUCCGCAGGUGGCGAUUCAAGUCUGCGGUCAAAGACUGGGGCUUAACCCUGGAAAGGCAGUGGAAACUACAUAGCUAGAGUAAGGUAGGGGUAGAGGGAAUUCCUGGUGUAGCGGUGAAAUGCGUAGAGAUCAGGAAGAACACCGGUGGCGAAAGCGCUCUGCUGGACCUUAACUGACACUGAGGGACGAAAGCUAGGGGAGCGAAUGGG
rnacentral:rRNA from 1 species